rnacentral:rRNA from 1 species
GACGAACGCUGGCGGCGUGCUUAACACAUGCAAGUCGAGCGGACAGGCCCUGCUCUUGUGGGGUGCUCGAGUGGCGCGCGGGUGAGUAAAACGUGAGUAACCUCCCCUUAUCUGUGGGAUAACAUCAGGAAAAUGGGGAUAAUACCGGAUAGGAGCUACUGCUGCAUGGUGGGGGUUGGAGAGUUUCGGCGGUUUGGGAUGGAAUAGAGGCUUAUCAGCUUGUUGGUGGGGUAGUGGCUUACCAGGGCUUUGAAGGGUAGCCCGCCUGAGAGGGUGACCGGCCACAUUGGGACUGAGAUACGGACCAGACUCCUACGUGACGCAGCAGUGGAGAAUAUUGCACAAUGGGCGGGAGCGUGAUGCAGCAACGCCGCGUGCGUGAAGACGUCUUUCGGGGUGUAAACAGCUUUCGCCUGUGACGAAGCGUGAGUGACGGUAAUGGGUAAAGAAGCACCGGCUAACUACGUG